GAUGAACGCUAGCGGGAGGCCUAACACAUGCAAGCCGAGCGGUAUUGUUUCUUCGGAAAUGAGAGAGCGGCGUACGGGUGCGUAACACGUGUGCAACCUGCCUUUAACUGGGGGAUAGCCUUUCGAAAGGAAGAUUAAUACUCCAUAAUAUAUUGAACGGCAUCGUUUAAUAUUGAAAGCUCCGGCGGAUAGAGAUGGGCACGCGCGAGAUUAGCUAGUUGGUGAGGUAACGGCUCACCAAGGCGAUGAUCUUUAGGGGGCCUGAGAGGGUGAUCCCCCACACUGGUACUGAGACACGGACCAGACUCCUACGGGAGGCAGCAGUGAGGAAUAUUGGUCAAUGGGUGCAAGCCUGAACCAGCCAUCCCGCGUGAAGGACGACUGCCCUAUGGGUUGUAAACUUCUUUUGUAUAGGGAUAAACCUACCCUCGUGAGGGUAGCUGAAGGUACUAUACGAAUAAGCACCGGCUAACUCCGUGCCAGCAGCCGCGGUAA
rnacentral:rRNA from 1 species